ACUGGCUGAGCUCUGUGGUUUGGUAGUCUACUGGCUGACAGCUAUGUGGGUUGUUGGUAGUCUACUGGCUGAGUGAGCUAUGUGGUUUGGUAGUCCUACUGGCUGAGUAUGUGGUUUGGUAGUCUACUGGCUGAGCUAUGUGGUUUGGUAGUCUACUGGCUGAGUGAGCUAUGUGGUUUGGUAGUCUACUGGCUGAGCUAUGUGGUUUGGUAGUCUACUGGCUGAGCUAUGUGGUUUGGUAGUCUACUGGCUGAGCUAUGUGGUUUGGUAGUCUACUGGCUGAGUGAGCUAUGUGGUUUGUAGUCUACUCGGUGGAGCUAUGUGGUUUUGUAGUCCUACUGGUGAGCUAGUGUGGUU
rnacentral:lncRNA from 1 species